rnacentral:rRNA from 1 species
AGUGUAGAUUCAGAGUUGAUCCUGGCUCAGGACGAACGCUGGCGGCGUGCUUAACACAUGCAAGUCAAGGGGGCUCCGCAAGGGGCAACCGGCGAACGGGUGCGUAACACGUGAGCAACCUGCCUUCGAGUGGGGGAUAGCCGGCCCAACGGCCGGGUAAUACCGCAUACGCUCCUUUGGUGGCAUCACCGGGGGAGGAAACGUUUACGGCUCGGAGAGGGGCUCGCGGCCUAUCAGCUAGUUGGUGCGGUCACGGCGUACCAAGGCGACGACGGGUAGCUGGUCUGAGAGGAUGGCCAGCCACAUUGGGACUGAGAAACGGCCCAG